rnacentral:lncRNA from 1 species
GCCGAGCACUGUACCCCCCAACAAACCUUGAACAGGGAAGUGACUGUGGGUGAAGAGGCCUAUCUGAAAACUGGAGGUGGUGUCCUGGUACACUCCUUGGUCCCAGCACCCACCGUGGGGAAGUGUGAACAGACCCUUGAAAAGAAAGCAGAACUACAGCACCGUGGAAAGUCCCUGUAGGUGACUUAUGCGAGAAGAGAUAUUGAAAAAGAGAGAAUUCUAUAACUGGGGGAUGGAGAUCUGAGCAAGGUGGCCCUCAGAUGGGAUCAAGCAGCUUGGGAGAGAGAAGGCACUUCAAACUGGAGACAGGCAGAAAAAAGUCAUGGCCAUGCCUUCAUCCCUCAGAAAGGAGCCCGGAGCCUGCUGGAGGUGGCUGUGGAAAGCAGGUGGGAGGAGGGAUCAUUCCCGUUCCUCAGAUGUCAGAUGUAAAACUGCCGGUUAACUUGUACAGGGAACUUGUAUUUUGGAAAACAAGGCUAAGGUGAAAAGUGUCUGGCUUGUAGUGUUCAAGUUCUUUAUCAUAGGAAAACCAAAGCGUUUGCUGCUCGAAAGAAGGAAUGCACAGGCAGAUCUGCUGAGUUCUUCACCUGAGGAGACUUAACAUCAGCCCCCCAGAGCAGGGGAGGUGACUCACCAGCUACUUCCUUGACUACUAUUAUUUUCUUUCAGACAUUGGCCACUCCACCUAUUUCCUUUUAAUUUUUUUUUCCAUCAGUGAGAACUCUAUUUUAUAUCUUUGGAAUUUUUUUUUUUAUUUUUGUUUUUGUGUUUGGGUGUGUAUGUGUGUGUGUGUGUGUGACCCAAAACAAUUUGUACCAAAAUUCAGCGUCCCAAGACAAUUUGUUCUGCCUAUUGCCUUGGUAAAUCUAUUUCUGGGAAUAAGCUAAACAUGGAAAAAAU